rnacentral:rRNA from 1 species
UACGGGGGGUGCGAGCGUUGUCCGGAAUCACUGGGCGUAAAGGGUGCGUAGGCGGCGCGGUAAGUCGGGUGUGAAAUCUCGGAGCUUAACUCCGAAACUGCAUUCGAUACUGCCGUGCUUGAGGACUGGAGAGGAGACUGGAAUUUACGGUGUAGCGGUGAAAUGCGUAGAUAUCAUAAGGAAGACCAGUGGCGAAGGCGGGUCUCUGGACAGUUCCUGACGCUGAGGCACGAAGGCCAGGGGAGCAAACGGG